rnacentral:tRNA from 1 species
GCGGUUGUGGCGGAAUCGGCAGACGCGCUGGCUUCAGGUGCCAGUCGGAGCAAUUCGGUGGGGGUUCAAGUCCCUUCAGCCGCACCA